rnacentral:rRNA from 1 species
UGGCGAACGGGUGAGUAACACGUGGGUGAUCUGCCCUGCACUUCGGGAUAAGCCUGGGAAACUGGGUCUAAUACCGGAUAGGAGCCAUUUUUAGUGUGAUGGUUGGAAAGUUUUUUCGGUGUAGGAUGAGCUCGCGGCCUAUCAGCUUGUUGGUGGGGUAAUGGCCUACCAAGGCGGCGACGGGUAGCCGGCCUGAGAGGGUGGACGGCCACAUUGGGACUGAGAUACGGCCCAGACUCCUACGGGAGGCAGCAGUGGGGAAUAUUGCACAAUGGGCGCAAGCCUGAUGCAGCGACGCCGCGUGGGGGAUGACGGCCUUCGGGUUGUAAACUCCUUUCGCUAGGGACGAAGCUUUUUGUGACGGUA